CGAAAUCUCCUGUCAACAGCCACAUGAGGGAGCUUGGAAGCAGAUUAUCAAGCUCUUUGCCCAGGACAGCAGUUUGACCUGGAAGACAUCAAGAGCUGGAAUCAUCAUGCUGAGAUUCCUGACCUCUCCCAGAACUAUGAGACUUAGGAUUUUGCCUUUGCCUUGGGUAUGCCAUUUUCUAUGCACUGUGCUGGAUCAUGUACCCAGCCAGGCACAGUUGCUUGCACCUAUUUCCCAAAUACGCACAAGACUGAGGCAGGAGGAUCCCUUGAGU